rnacentral:lncRNA from 1 species
UAUAAACAAGGCUUCCUAUACAUGUCCAAUGACUCAAGUUGAUUGAUGUAGGGGUAACCUAUCCAUGCUUCAAAGUACCAUGAAUGAUCACUUGAUCAUUCAUUAGUAGGUUUGAAGUAUGGAAGGUUCAAACAACCCUAAUCAAAUAAAUAUCAUGACAAAUAUAGACCUCAUUAUCCUUAAGGUUCAAGACCACAUAAGUCCACUAAAAAAAUAUCCAAAUGACUUGAAACAAGACAUAAAUAAAUACUAGAGACAAAAAUAAUAUGGGUCUAUCUUUAACAUAUUUUCAUAUUAAAUAAAAUAUGUGGGUUAAAAAAUAAAUCAAAGUUGGAAAUAAAAUGGUAAAAAUAAAAUGGGAAGUGAAACAAAAUAAAAAUAAACAAGAUUGCACACACUAGGGGUUGAACCCCUGGCCUUGGGAUCAUGGGGGGAU